ACUAGGAACACUCUGCAGAGUCCUGGUUCUGGCUUUACUGCCCUCUACAGCUUGCUUUCGCUGACCUCAAAUUGAACCCCUUCCAUCAUUUUCUACAAUUAUCCAGAGAUUGAGCUGAUGUGUGAACUGCAAGGAAGGCAUUUUACAAAAUUUACAAAUGAAAGGAAACAAAUUGGAGGUGGUGCAGACUCUAGGCUUUGGAUAAUGCAGCCUUGAAUAUAUGCUGCUGCCCUGACGGUGAGACACUGCUGAUAGUUUCUAAUACAGGCUGUGUUUUCAAAUUCAAACCACUGCUGAAUGGUAAAGUUGUCAAAGUUCUGGAUGCACUCUGUGGAGAUUUUGUGGCUGUUGCUCCAUUAUACACAGACAGAAGCAUUUGUUUGGUAAAAGAACAUGUGGUGUCAAUUGGUUAAUUAAUCACAAUUAAUAAACUGAUACAUAUUAUAUUCGUAUAGUAUUACAAUAUAAAUAUUAAAAUACGAGGUAGAUAUUGAAGCUAAUAAGGCAUCUGUAUCUUCACUAUUGCAGUCAGUCAGAGAAGCAGGAGACAUACAGCUGUGGGCUCUGGAUGAUGGACUUUGCAUGGGCUCCAUCUCUCUGCAGACACAUGUUAGUGCUUUAACUGGAGGUUCUAUACGACACACAAAGUAAUUAUUUUUCCCAAAUUAGGUGAAUAAGUCUGCUGUACAUAAAUCUGUGUUAUUUGGUGUAACUUUA
rnacentral:lncRNA from 1 species